rnacentral:rRNA from 1 species
AAACCGACACAGGUAGAUGAGGAGAGAAUCCUAAGGCCGACGGGAGAAGCGUUGUUAAGGAACUCGGCAAAAUGACCCCGUAACUUCGGGAGAAGGGGUGCCUGUAGAGAUACAGGCCGCAGAGAAUAGGCCCAAGCGACUGUUUAGCAAAAACACAGGUCUCUGCAAAACCGAAAGGUGAAGUAUAGGGGCUGACGCCUGCCCGGUGCUGGAAGGUUAAGGGAAAGAGUUAGACAUUGGUCGAAGCUUAGAACUGAAGCCCCAGUAAACGGCGGCCGUAACUAUAACGGUCCUAAGGUAGCGAAAUUCCUUGUCGGGUAAGUUCCGACCCGCACGAAAGGCGUAACGAUUUGGGCACUGUCUCGACAACGCGCCCGGUGAAAUUGUAGUACCGGUGAAGAUGCCGGUUACCCGCGACAGGACGGAAAGACCCCGUGGAGCUUUACUCCAGCUUGAUGCUGGGAUUCGGUAUUACAUGUACAGGAUAGGAGGGAGACUAAGAAGUCAGGACGCCAGUCUUGAUGGAGUCGCUGUUGGGAUACCUCCCUUGUAGUACUGGAUUUCUAACCUAUACCAGUGAUCCUGGUAAGGGACAAUGUCAGGUGGGGAGUUUGACUGGGGCGGUCGCCUCCGAAAGAGUAUCGGAGGCGCUCAAAGGUCAUCUCAGAAUGGUUGGAAAUCAUUCGCAGAGUGCAAAGGCAUAAGAUGGCUUGACUGUGACACCGACGGGUGGAGCAGGUACGAAAGUAGGACUUAGUGAUCCGGUGGUAUAAAGUGGGAUUGCCAUCGCUCAACGGAUAAAAGCUACCCCGGGGAUAACAGGCUUAUCACUCCCAAGAGUUCACAUCGACGGAGUGGUUUGGCACCUCGAUGUCGGCUCAUCGCAUCCUGGGGCUGUAGUAGGUCCCAAGGGUUGGGCUGUUCGCCCAUUAAAGCGGUACGCGAGCUGGGUUCAGAACGUCGUGAGACAGUUCGGUCCCUAUCCGUCGUGGGCGCAGGAUAUUUGAGAGGAGCUGUCCUUAGUACGAGAGGACCGGGAUGGACGAACCGCUGGUGUAUCUGUUGUACUACCAAGUGCAUAGCAGAGUAGCCAAGUUUGGAAGGGAUAAACGCUGAAGGCAUCUAAGCGUGAAGCCUCCCUCAAGAUAAGAUAUCCCAUAGCGUAAGCUAGUAAGACCCCUUGAAGACGACAAGGUAGAUAGGUCGGAGGUGUAAGUAUGGUAACAUAUUGAGCUGACCGAUACUAAUAGGUCGAGGGCUUGACCA